GGCGCGGUAGCUCAGUUGGUAGAGCAGAGGACUGAAAAUCCUCGUGUCGCCGGUUCAAUUCCGGCCUGCGCCACCA
rnacentral:tRNA from 3 species